rnacentral:rRNA from 1 species
AUGCAGAUCUUUGUGAAGACCCUCACCGGCAAGACCAUCACCCUUGAGGUCGAGUCGUUUGACACGAUCGACAAUGUCAAGGCCAAGAUCCAGGACAAGGAGGGAAUCCCUCCGGACCAGCAGCGCCUCAUCUUUGCCGGCAAGCAGCUUGAGGAUGGCUGCACCCUGGCUGACUACAACAUCCAGAAGGAGUCCACCCUCCACCUGGUGCUCCGCCUCCGUGGAGGCAUGCAGAUCUUCGUCAAGACCCUCACUGGCAAGACCAUCACCCUUGAGGUGGAGUCCUCGGACACCAUCGACAAUGUGAAGGCCAAGAUCCAGGACAAGGAGGGCAUCCCUCCGGACCAGCAGCGCCUCAUCUUCGCCGGCAAGCAGCUCGAGGAUGGCCGCACCCUGGCCGACUACAACAUCCAGAAGGAGUCCACCCUCCACCUGGUGCUCAGGCUCCGUGGAGGCAUGCAGAUCUUCGUCAAGACCCUGACGGGCAAGACCAUCACCUUGGAGGUGGGAGUCCUCGGACACCAUCGACAACGUGAAGGCAAAGAUCCAGGACAAGGAGGGCAUUCCCCCGGACCAGCAGCGUCUGAUCUUCGCCGGCAAGCAGCUCGAGGACGGCCGCACCCUGGCAGACUACAACAUCCAGAAGGAGUCUACCCUUCACCUGGUGCUCCGCCUGCGUGGUGGCCAUUAAGUGCCUGCUCAUGGCGCUGUUUCCGUCUCUGGGUUCACAGGUCUGGUGUCAUCGGUGUACUCCAAUUCUGUCGUGUUUCUAUCUCUGUUAUGUUUGUUUGUGUUUACAAACUUAUGAUGUGA